UCACGGACUACACGUCAUGCCCUGCCGGCGACUUCACAGUGCCUUCUGCCUGGGCUUCUCCGCAGCCCUUCCAGCUUCCUGUGGAGUUAUUCUUAAGAAAAUACAUUGCAAGCCCUAAGGAGUAACUGUGCAAACAGCUGAAACGUGCCCGGAUGCAUAUUCAUCUCUGCUGGAAUUGAAUCUUGAGGUAAACCCAGCAACUACACAUCUCAAAGUUGUAUGAGUUCAUAUGACUGGCUCCCUUGUGGAGAAGCAGCAGAACGAAGAACUAUAGUAUGUGAAGAUGCACCACCGCCACCUCAACCUUAGCACCCAGCCCAUCUCUGCCACACCCUCCAGUGAAGACGCACCACCACGCCAUUCCGGACCAUUGGAAAAUGGAGUGAGGAGAUUAGCCUGCCUGACCAGAUUUCUAGCAGGACUUUGAGACUGGGCAACUCUCCAUGCUCUUCCAUGAGCUGUGCUAUCUUCCAGAAGCUGUCAUGUUUCUCACCUUUUAUCCAAUAUUUCAAUUUUCCUUCAUUGCAAUUACAACAAGGAGGGGGAAAUUCCUUAGCAUUCCAUCUUUUGUCAUUACCUCUUGAUGAAGUUUCUUCCUCUGAAAAAAUGGUAUUGAUGUUUAUCUCAUGAUGCAGAUGUGAGAAUCAAGUAAAACAUAUUUUCAAACAGAAUAAUUUUCCCCCCAAUUUAUUUA